UUCSCCYKKUUUUACAAAAACAUGUYUUUUUGGAAAUAAUUUAAAGUYUAAUYUGCCCMCUGAUAAAUAUAUUAAAGGGSUGCAGUAUUUUGACUGUACAAAGGUAGCAUAAUCAUUAGUYUYUUAAUUGGUGACUUGUAUGAAAGAUUGGAUGAAAUAUAAACUGUYUYUAAUUAAUUUAUAAAAUUUAAUUUUUUAGUAAAAAAGCUAAAAUAAUUUUAAAAGACGAGAAGACCCUAUAGAGUUUUAUAAUUUAUUUGAUUAUUAUUAAUAUGUAAAUUUUAAAAUUAAAAUUAAAUAAAUUAUUUUGUUGGGGKGACAGAAAAAUUAAAUUAACUUUUUUAAAUAAUUAACAUUAAUUUAUGAAUAAAUGAUCCAUUAAUAUUGAUUAAAAGAAAAAAUUACCUUAGGGAUAACAGCGUAAUUUUUUUUUUUAGUUCAAAUAGGAAAAAAAGUUUGCGACCUCGAUGUUGGAUUAAGAUAAAAUUUAAAUGCAAAAGUUAAAAUUUGAUCUGUCGAUCAUCGC
rnacentral:rRNA from 1 species